rnacentral:rRNA from 1 species
AGGAGACAGGUGCUGCAUGGCUGUCGUCAGCUCGUGUCGUGAGAUGUUCGGGUUAAGUCCCGCAACGAGCGCAAACCCCUACGUUUAGUUGCUAACGCGUGAAGGCGAGCACUCUAGGACGAACUGCCGUUGACAAAACGGAGGAAGGUGGGAUGACGUCAAAUCAUCAUGCCCCUUAUGUUCUGGGCUACACACGUGCUACAAUGGCCGGUACAGACGGACGCAAAGCCGCGAGGUGGAGCAAAUCCUAAAAAGCCGGUCUCAGUUCGGAUUGCAGGCUGCAAUUCGCCUGCAUGAAGUCGGAAUCGCUAGUAAUCGCAGGUCAGCAUACUGCGGUGAAUACGUUCCCGGGCCUU